rnacentral:rRNA from 1 species
UACGUAGGGGGCAAGCGUUGUCCGGAUUUAUUGGGCGUAAAGAGCGUGUAGGCGGCCAGGUAGGUCAGCUGUGAAAACUCGAGGCUCAACCUCGAGACGCCGGUUGAAACCAUCUGGCUAGAGUCCGGAAGAGGAGAGUGGAAUUCCUGGUGUAGCGGUGAAAUGCGUAGAUAUCGGGAGGAAUACCGAUGGCGAAGGCAGCUUUCUGGCACAUAACUGACGCUGAGAUUCGAAAGCGUGGGUAGCAAACAGG